UACGAAGGGGGCUAGCGUUGCUCGGAAUCACUGGGCGUAAAGGGUGCGUAGGCGGGUCUUUUAAGUCAUGGGGUGAAAUCCUGGAGCUCAACUCCAGAACUGCCUUUGAUACUGAGGAUCUUGAGUUCGGGAGAGGUGAGUGGAACUGCGAGUGUAGAGGUGAAAUUCGUAGAUAUUCGCAAGAACACCAGUGGCGAAGGCGGCUCACUGGCCCGAUACUGACGCUGAGGC
rnacentral:rRNA from 1 species